UUCCCUUUUUCCCUCUCUUAUUCAUCUUUUUAUUCCUUUUUUUUUAAUCCACGUAGGCACUCCCCCAAAAGAAGAAGAGACUCGUGAUCCCGAAACGCCAGAGCAUGCGCAUUCUACAGGUGACAUUUGCCAGUACUAGCAAAGAUAGGGGUGAAACUUUCGGAGAUGUUAUUUUUUCUCCCCAAAACGCAGAAUUUAAAGCUUACUCAUGCCGUUGGUUUUCUAGCUAGCCUUCCGUUUUCUAGGUCAAGGUUUCAUUCCUCAGCUGAUAAACAAAAUCGAACAUCUUUCUAUACCAAAUGGUGAAACCCAGCAGAGCAACACGGACACCUAUUCGCCUUUCCCCUUUGUUUUUUUGUUUUUUGUUUUUUUUUUCCUAAGAGAUUCUUUUUUAAAAUCUUAAUUCCAUAACUUCCAUUUUUUUAUUUAUCAGUUUAUAGAUCCAUGAAAGGCCAUUUCAAAUUUCUUCUUAACAUAUUUUCUCAUUCUGUAUCUAGGUUUCACCACUGGUGUUUCGUGUCUCACGUGUCUCAAUCGCUUGAUCGAGGACACCUCAUAAAAUGAAGGGCCAAAGCCAUUUUUUUCAUCAACGGGCUCGCCACAACCUGAUACUCAACCAAAAUUAAUUUGGUUCAAAUACAUAUUCUUCCUGAAAAACUCACCUUUUCUUUGAUCAACUAUACUCUGAUGCUCAACUCACUGGAGAUUUGUUCUUUCAUAUUGAAGAACUCAUAAAUAUGGGUAACAAUUGUGCCAAUGCUUUUCUGUGGUUGAAGAAAAAUUCUUCUCUGAAUUUAUUGCAAAUUCUGCUAUUAAAAAAAAAGAAAAGAAUUUAUUGUAAAUAAACGAAG
rnacentral:lncRNA from 1 species